GACGAACGCUGGCGGCGUGCUUAACACAUGCAAGUCGAACGGAAAGGCCCUGCUUUUGUGGGGUGCUCGAGUGGCGAACGGGUGAGUAACACGUGAGUAACCUGCCCUUGACUUUGGGAUAACUUCAGGAAACUGGGGCUAAUACCGGAUAGGAGCUCCUGCUGCAUGGUGGGGGUUGGAAAGUUUCGGCGGUUGGGGAUGGACUCGCGGCUUAUCAGCUUGUUGGUGGGGUAGUGGCUUACCAAGGCUUUGACGGGUAGCCGGCCUGAGAGGGUGACCGGGCACAGUGGGACUGAGAUACGGCCCAGACUCCUACGGGAGGCAGCAGUGGGGAAUAUUGCACAAUGGGCGGAAGCCUGAUGCAGCAACGCCGCGUGCGGGAUGACGGCCUUCGGGUUGUAAACCGCUUUCGCCUGUGACGAAGCGUGAGUGACGGUAAUGGGUAAAGAAGCACCGGCUAACUACGUG
rnacentral:rRNA from 1 species